GACGAACGCUGGCGGCGUGCUUAACACAUGCAAGUCGAACGGAAAGGCCCUGCUUUUGUGGGGUGCUCGAGUGGCGAACGGGUGAGUAACACGUGAGUAACCUGCCCUUGACUUUGGGAUAACUUCAGGAAACUGGGGCUAAUACCGGAUAGGAGCUCCUGCUGCAUGGUGGGGGUUGGAAAGUUUCGGCGGUUGGGGAUGGACUCGCGGCUUAUCAGCUUGUUGGUGGGGUAGUGGCUUACCAAGGCCUUGACGGGUAGCCGGCCUGAGAGGGUGACCGGCAAAAUUGGGACUGAGAUACGGCCCAGACUCCUACGGGAGGCAGAAGUGGGGAAUAUUGCAAAAUGGGCGGAAGCCUGAUGCAGCAACGCCGCGUGCGGGAUGACGGCCUUCGGGUUGUAAACCGCUUUCGCCUGUGACGAAGCGUGAGUGACGGUAAUGGGUAAAGAAGCACCGGCUAACUACGUG
rnacentral:rRNA from 1 species